rnacentral:misc_RNA from 1 species
GAUGAAGAACGCAGCGAAAUGCGAUAAGUAGUGUGAAUUGCAGAAUUCAGUGAAUCAUCGAAUCUUUGAACGCACAUUGCGCCCCUUGGUAUUCCAUGGGGCAUGCCUGUUCGAGCGUCAUUUGUACCUUCAAGCUUUGCUUGGUGUUGGGUGUUUGUCUCGCCUUUGCGUGUAGACUCGCCUUAAAAUAAUUGGCAGCCGGCGUAUUGAUUUCGGAGCGCAGUACAUCUCGCGCUUUGCACUCAUAACGACAGCGUCCAAAAGUACAUUUUACACUCUUGACCUCGGAUCAGGUAGGGAUACCCGCUGAACUUAAGCAUAUCAAUAAGCGAGGA